rnacentral:rRNA from 1 species
UACGGAGGAUGCAAGCGUUAUCCGGAUUUAUUGGGUUUAAAGGGUGCGCAGGUGGUUUAAUAAGUCAGUGGUGAAAGUCUGCCGCUUAACGGUAGGAUUGCCAUUGAUACUGUUGGACUUGAAUAUGGAUGAGGUAGGCGGAAUGUGUAGUGUAGCGGUGAAAUGCUUAGAUAUUACACAGAACACCGAUUGCGAAGGCAGCUUACUAAUCCAUGAUUGACGCUGAGGCACGAAAGCGUGGGGAUCAAACAGGAUUA